GCCCCCAUCUGGGGAACUGUCUACUUUUUUCCCCUUCUCAGUGAGAUUGACAUCUGCCCUUGAGUCUCCCUUGUUACUUAGUCUCUCUGGAUCUAUGGAUUGUAGCAUGGUUAUGCUGUAUUUUAUGGAUAAUAUCCACUAAUGAAUACUGCAUCCAAUAUCAUCUUGUGUAAUACUGUGUAACCUUGCCAUGUGAAAUCUCAGAGAUGCGAGAGGAGAAAAUUGUGGAACUUGUCUCUAAUUCAAAGUCAUCUUGUAAAGCUGAUAUUGUCACAACUGACAUUUAGUAAAGAAAGAAAUCUGAGAACUUUCACUAUCUGCAAGAUACUACCUUCCAAAAAUAAAAGCACAACUAACUGGGCUCUCCAGUAGACAUGGACACUGAUAGAUUACCCUCACCCUGGAGGAUAGUCUUAUACCUAUAUGCAUAUUGGCAACACUAAUUAAACCCAGGAGCUUGUUAAUUACAACCAAAAAGACAAGACAUGAAAUUGGGGUGGGGAAACAGGGUUGAAGGGCAAUACAAAGAGUUCUUCAUGUCACCUACUGAGACACUCUAUCCAUUUCUUCACUGCUGUGACUGAAUAAACCAGGACUCAUAAGAAA